rnacentral:rRNA from 1 species
UACAGAGGUCUCAAGCGUUGUUCGGAAUCACUGGGCGUAAAGGGUGUGUAGGCGGCGUGAAAAGUCAGAUGUGAAAUCCGGGGGCUCAACCUCCGAAAUGCAUCCGAUACUGUCAUGCUGGAGGUCUGUAGAGGGGUCUGGAAUUCUCGGUGUAGCAGUGAAAUGCGUGGAUAUCUUAAGGAAGACCAGUGGCGAAGGCGGGUCUCUGGACAGUUCCUGACGCUGAGGCACGAAGGCCAGGGGAGCAAACGGG